GAUGAACGCUGGCGGCGUGCCUAAUACAUGCAAGUCGAGCGAACAGACGAGGAGCUUGCUCCUCUGACGUUAGCGGCGGACGGGUGAGUAACACGUGGAUAACCUACCUAUAAGACUGGGAUAACUUCGGGAAACCGGAGCUAAUACCGGAUAAUAUAUUGAACCGCAUGGUUCAAUAGUGAAAGACGGUUUUGCUGUCACUUAUAGAUGGAUCCGCGCCGCAUUAGCUAGUUGGUAAGGUAACGGCUUACCAAGGCGACGAUGCGUAGCCGACCUGAGAGGGUGAUCGGCCACACUGGAACUGAGAAACGGUCCAGACUCCUACGGGAGGCAGCAGUAGGGAAUCUUCCGCAAUGGGCGAAAGCCUGACGGAGCAACGCCGCGUGAGUGAUGAAGGUCUUCGGAUCGUAAAACUCUGUUAUUAGGGAAGAACAAAUGUGUAAGUAACUAUGCACGUCUUGACGGUACCUAAUCAGAAAGCCACGGCUAACUACGUG
rnacentral:rRNA from 1 species